UACGGGGGGGGCAAGCGUUGUUCGGAAUUACUGGGCGUAAAGGGCUCGUAGGUGGCCAACUAAGUCAGACGUGAAAUCCCCAGGCUCAACUUGGGAACUGCGUCUGAUACUGGAUGGCUUGAAUUCGGGAGAGGGAUGCAGAAUUCCAGGUGUAGCGGUGAAAUGCGUAGAUAUCUGGAGGAAUACCGGUGGCGAAGGCGGCACUCUGGGCCGGAACUGACGCUGAGGAGCGAAAGCGUGGGGAGCGAACAGG
rnacentral:rRNA from 1 species